rnacentral:rRNA from 1 species
UACGGGGGGAGCAAGCGUUGUUCGGAUUUACUGGGCGUAAAGGGCGCGUAGGCGGCCACCGCAAGUCGACUGUGAAAUCUCCGGGCUUAACCCGGAAAGGUCAGCCGAUACUGCGGGGCUAGAGUGCAGAAGGGGCAACUGGAAUUCUCGGUGUAGCGGUGAAAAUGCGUAGAUAUCAGGAGGAACACCUGCGGUGUAGACGGCUUACUGGACCAUAACUGACGCUGAGGCACGAAAAGCGUGGGGUAGCAAACAGG